UAAUCAGAAUAUUGACACAGGUUGAAGUUCAAAAAAUAUAAAUCAUUUUUUGAAAUUAUUUAAGGUAAUAAAUAAUUCUUAUUUAAAUAAUAAUUUAAAUAAGAACAAAAAAUAAACUAUUUCGUAAACAAUUAUUGAAAAAUAUGAAACAAAAAUAAAUUUUUUUUAGUACUAAUAAACAAAAAUAUUAUAAAUUAAAAAAAACGGUAGCACAGUGGGGUCACGGCAUAGUAGAGACAUUGCAUAGUAGGGUCCAGUAUAGAUUUAAUCUGACAGUGAUUAAAAUCACUAUCAUAAGAAACGCUUCGAUGCAAAUCUGUAGAUAGUGUUUAAUUUUAAAAAAUUGAUGGAUAAUUGCAAAAGCAACAUCAACUUCUAUUAAAAUAAAAUACAAAACCCAUAAUUAUCAUACAAAAAUAGUAUAUUUUUCAAUAUGGUAGCCAUUUGCGUAUAGAAGAUAGAUCGUCGGGACAAAUUUUUUUUUUUCAUUUUGUAGUACAUAAAAUAAGCUUUAAUUUUAUAUAUGUUUAAAGGACGCAGUAUUUCCGGAACAUUUUCAAAAAUUAAGUUGAAAAAGUUAUUUUUUGUAAAAAAGUUACUAUUUUAAAUCCUCCCAGUGAGCAGAAUAAGUGUUAGAUUUUCAAAAAAAAUUAUAUCAAAUGAAAGGGAAAUAUCUAAGGUUUCAAUACAAAAAAAUAUUAUUUUUAUUUGUUCAUUUUUGAAAAAGUUAUGGCAGUUUUAAGUACAAAAAACAUCCCGAUAAAAUGUAAUUUUUAUCGCAAACAUUACAUUUUUUUUUAAAUUUUCGACAGCCAUUUGCACAUAGAAGAUAAGAUGUCGGGACAAAUUUUUUUUUUUCAUUUGAUAGUAUAUAACAUAACCUUUGAUUUGAUAUAUGUUUAAAGGACGCAGUAUUUCCGGAACAUUUUCAAAAGUUCAGUUGAAAAAGAUCUAUGUUUUUUACAAUAUUUUAAGUUUUGAACGCCCCCUAUAUAAGGGGAAAUUGUCCAAUUUUAAUAAAAAGACGCAGUCUUUCCGGAACAUUUUCAAAAAUUAAGUUGAAAAAAUUAAUUUUUGUAAAAAAGUUGCCAUUUUAAAUCCCCCCCAAUGAGCAGGUUAAGUGAUAGAUUUUCAAAAAAAUGAUAUCAAAUGAAAGGUAAAUAUCUAAGGUUUUAGUAUAAAAAAAAAUUAUGUUGAUUUGUUGAUUUUUCAAAAAGUUAUGGAAGUUUUAAGAAAAAAAAGUGAAAAAAUUUUGAAAAUUAGCGAUUUCUAAAUUUGUAGUUUUUUUGGAUAUUUCCCCCAUUUGCGGGGAACGAGGGAAUUUUUUUCAAUUUUUAAGGGUAAUGUCUUCAACUAGAUACGAUUUGUGAUCUUUUGACGUAUUUUUGAAAGAAAUCGGUCCAGUGAGAGCUGAGAAAAAGUGGCAACAGACAUAAAAAAAAAAAAAAACACAUCAUAGUAAAAUUAAUACCUUCUCC